CAGAUCCUAAGCACUGGGUAUGAAGGCCAAGCAAAAAGCCUUGGUUCUGGGCAGGAUCUGCAGUCACAUUUCUAGAUUACCAGCUCAUCCAGGACUUGAGAGACCAAGACCCAGGAGAAAAGGAAACCUCAGAGAGGUCUUAAUUUUCAUCCAGACCACCUUCAGCCCACUUCUACUGACCACAAGCUUUUGGAUCCUGCCCUGGGUCUCUGAGCACAGCAGAAUACAGGAGAAUCCCUUUCUUCUGGAGACAUGAUGCCUUAUCUUCCCUCCCAAAGGACCAUCUCUGCUUCAAUUCCACUGCCAGCCACAUCCUUGCUACCACCCUCUUACUACUUCCUAUUCCAGCCAAACUGUAUUAGUUUUUAAUUUAUUUCACUCAGUUAUUCUUAUUACAGUUUAAAUAUAGAAAAUACAAAAUAUGGAUAUUUAUUUUAUUUCUUAUUAUACAAGCAUAUCCAUGUUAUCUUUGAUAUUGCUACUUGGUCCACACAGGUGGAUAAGGUACCAUAUUUACCAUCUGACCCUUUAUAGAAAAAGUUAGCUGACCCCUCGUCUAAACUAUGAAGACAGAAACAUCUGUUUUUUUCCUUAUUGUAGUCCCACAACAGGUGUAAAUGUGUCCUAAAUGAAUAUCAUUAAGUGAAUAAAUGAUGGAAAAAUUGU
rnacentral:lncRNA from 1 species